GUUUUAGUACAAGUCAGAGAAUAUGACUUGCUGACGAUACAGGAAGGAAACCCGUUGGUCUUAAAAGGUUAGGGUGGAGGGCCUCAGAAGGGUCCUUGCUGUGAGCUUGAGACACUGCCGGGUGACAUGUCACGGUGGCCUUUGGUACCUACCUGAGCUUGAAUGAAGGAGGUUCAUUCUAGGCUCCCAGAGUUCAGGAGGACGUCUAACCCAGAGGAUGGGCAAGACUCAAGGCCUCAAUAGCCUCUGAGAAGUAAAACCCAGAAGGGGGCACAGGAUGGGGUGGACGUGGGACACUCAGGCAGGUGUGGGAUGCGGGGGCACCUGACAUGGGAAGCGAUGGGACCCCGCCCCUGGAGUGAAACCCAGAAUCUCAACGUGUUUUCACCUGUAUGAGAAAAAGACUAGAAGACACUGACCAAGGAAGUAUAAAGGAAGCCUGUCACAUAUCCGGGGUCACGGGUAGAAUAUAAAGUGACCAGCAAGAAACACACACCCGGGUGUGGAUGCCAGGUCUGAUUUCCCUGCACCUGUGCAUUGCAGGAGGACCAGGUGGUAAAAUGAAUGUGAAACUCGUUCCCAGAUCUGCGAGGAUGCUGUUGGAACCUGAGGGCCGAGGCACAGUCAACAUCACAAAUCAUCUACAGAAUCUUUGACCACAUAGGACUCCGCCUUGCCUAAAAAUAGACGAUAAAAGAUUAUAACCCCUAUAAAGACAUUUUGAGGGAAUGAAGACAUGUGACAGGUGGAUAAGCAACCCAGUGCUAGAACUGGUGGCUUGCACAGGGUGUUUAAAAGGACUAACUUGGUUUUUAAAAGGAAAAGAAGCCGUGAUGAAAUAGCGAUCUAGUGCGACAGAAGGACAGAUUGAAAACAAACAGCACGUCUGAGAACAAAAAAACGUCAUUUAAAUUCGUGACUGUGCCUGUUACGUAACAGAUUAGAUGUUACCAGACGGAGAAUGAGCAAAGCAGAAAACAGAUUUGAGGAUAUUUCCCAGAGUUUUGCGUAGAAGGCUACAGGGUGACCGGACAUGAGAAUGACGACAUGUGGGAGACGGCCUGAGAAACCAAGCCCAUGUCGGCGACAAACCAGGCCCCAAGGAGAACAGGACGGGCAUUGCUUGGAAGGAGGGGCUGAGGGGCUUUUACGUGUGUUCCAUCCAUGUAAAGUGGAGUAAAAGACAGAGAUGGGGGAAGGAAGAAAGCCUCAGAUGACACGGCAUGCAGGAGUUUUAGAGAAAGUCACUAUUUAAUGAUAAAAGGAAGCUGAAGCAAUCACCUACUGUAGAAUAGGCUCCAAAUGUGGAAAACUAAAGAAUAAACAGAGGAUUGCAAGGAGCUUCGGAGGGAUCCCAAGUCCCAGGGGAGACCUGUGUGCAUGGGGUCCCAGGGGAGCCAGUCACACCCAGUGAGAGCGGAGGAGCCUCGAGGAGCUGCUGGGGCCCAGGCAUCCUGGGCGGGAGCACUGCUGACUGUCUGCCUAGGGGCUCGUGCCUCGUUCACGGGGUCGACUUGCUCUGACUUGCUCGCUCGGACCCGGUUCUCUCAUGAUGUGGGGCCUCCAUGGCUCUUCAGCAGGUGCUCGCACAGACAGCCUGUGCUCUUGUUGGAAAUGUUUGCAGAAACCUAGGACCCUUUUGGUUCCAGGAUUGCACAGGUUCACUUGGACCAUGUUCUCCUGGCGAGGAGGGCGUGAAGCGUGAAGCAGCUUCUGUGCUAUCCCCAUCCUGGGGUCCCCUGAUGCUCAGAGAGCACCGGCUCCUCCCUCACAUGCUGGCAGAGUUCCUACCACCCACCAUGUGGAUGCCGUGUCUGCGGUCUCCCAUGCACGCAGCUUCCCUUCCCACCCCCAUGUAGCUGCAGGACGUGCCUCGGGCCUGCAGCAGAGCACCACGAACGGAGAGGCCGUGUCCUUCCUAUCCUCGCAUCUGGGGGCCCGACGAGCCCUGUACACCUCACAGGUGUGUGUUUUUGAGCCAAAUGCAUGAAACUGACCACUCGGAUAUCUGGUCUUUUCACUGACAAAGGCAGUUUUGUCAGCUACGCUUAGAAUCAGAGGUGAAGCCCCAUCCACUAAAUAUGGAAGAAGCAAAUAAUUUCACCUGUGGGAGGGAAUAAUCGAAUGUCAAGCAUUGCAUAUGGGAAAAGCAUCCGGAACUGAGGAGAGGACAAGGCUCAGGAACCAUGGCAAACACUUGGAAACACCCUUAAUCCCAGUAAGGAGAUGCUAUUAAAGCAUGUGUCUCCCAUGUGAUGAAAUCAUACACAGCCUUUCAGUGUGAUGCAUCAUAACCUUUCCACCAAGGUCGGGAAUGAUACCGUGUACCCUAUUUGCAAGCCCCACAACAACAUCCGUAGCUUCAUACCCACAGGGCACCUGCUGGGUAUCCUUGAGCAUCUGUGUGGAGCACGUCAGCAGGUGCGCUGAGCAGGUGGCUCCUGGGGCCCAGAUGCAGAUGGAGGUGGGCCACUGAGUGGCCCUGACCCCCAGCAACCAGCUGUGCUGCCAAGAUCGGGCUGCAGCCGGAAGCCCGGGACAGCUUAGGGAGCACCUCGGAGGGAAAAAGUAUCUUCACGUGCUGGUUCGUUUCCUGAUCCUGCCCAUCUUGAGCUGACGGUUUUCCAUCAUGAUUGUCAUUAUCUUCAUAAGUAUUUUAUUGUUUAUGCCCUGCCUCUUUCCAAGAAGCACAGUCAUGGGAUUUUAUAGGAUAAACACAUGUGGGUGGUUUCAGCAGAAUAAGGACUCGCUGUAUCUUUAUGUUGGAUGGACUCAGUUUGAUUUGUCAAGUAAGAUAUGCAUUUGCCAUAAUACCCAACCACAGAGAUUUGAAAUGAUGUCUAACCUUUGGGGUCCCUGGGUGUAGUCAGAUGAGAAGCGUUAAUUGAGGCAGUCACGAUGCUACUGUGGUCUCUGUAGUUUGCGUAUGCAUUUGUCCUGAAGCUGCUUUUGAGCAUUAUUUAUCCUUGUCUAAAUCAGGACAAACCACUGUCCGGGCUCAGUAAGCAGAUCAGCGUCUGUAAGUAACAGCAGAGCCCCGGUGCAGCCACAGACGGCUCGUCCCCAAGAGCGCAUGUGAGCUCUGUCCCGCCUCUGCACCGACCGUAAACCCUGCCCAGCUUUGACCUGACUUCAGAAGCAACGUGGAUGGCUGGUACAGUAGUGCUCUCCACGCUGAGCGUGAUUUUAUGUCUGCCUCACCGUCCGUGAUUAUUCUGUAAUGCUCACUCUGCAUGUUUCGGUUUAACAGGGCGGGCAGGCUCUCCUGGGCAGACCAUGGGGCAUUGACAUAUUGCUCCAAACCUAAAGUUGUCUAAGGUACGAUAUUAUAUACAUUUUCCAUAAGAUCUCUCUCCCCACAUUGUGUGAUAAGGGGAACAAAAAGCAUUAUCCUAUCCAAGGUCACCUCUGGUCAGGCUAAUUCCUGCUUCCUUGCACUGUGUCCAGUUCAGCCAGUUGUGGGUUCUUUGCUCCCUGAGAGCGAACAAGGGCAGGUACGCUGCUCUUUCUCCAUCUUUCUCCCUAAAAUACCGAUGAAGAGAGAAGCCAGAACUUUAUUGCCGGAAACAAAAGCUUUCCCGACAGCCCAGUGAAGAAAAGAGCGGACCCCCUUUGCAGUGCCCAGACACCUUGCAGACAGAGCCACCCUGUGCAGCCUUAGUCUGAUGCUGGACCUCCCCCGCCUCGGCCAGCACUGGUCCUCGGGGCCGCCCACCACCCCACAGACAGGGGUGCUCUGGGGCCAUUAUUUCUGUGAGCUUGCAGUAUCUCCUGCGGUUUUGAGAUUUGGGAUGCUUGAGGAAUCUCUUUGUUUUUAUAGACUUCCUAUGUACAAAUUGCUAGCUCAGCCCAAAUUAAAUCUUACCACUGUUUCUUUUAAAGUUGGUAUACAACAGGGCCUCCACCCUAAGUGGGCUAAGAAGACAUGAAGAGAACCGACACAGAGGCGCCCAGGCAGGGGUUUGCACUUGCUGCUCCUUAUGCUUGUGGGCAGAUGGUGCGGUCUUGGUUGGCUCCCCUCACCAACCAAAAAUGGCCAAACUCAAAUCUGUUUCCUUGAGAAAGGUAAAAUGUAAAAUUACCGUGUUGAGGUUGUCCCGGGCUCCCUCCAUCGGUUUUCCCACGGAUCCCCUGACAUAUUCCCAGACGUAUUCCACCACAAAAGCCCAAUCCUGCCAUUUUGUAAUACUUACCAGUAGAAACCACAGGCCAAUCACCGUCUUCCCCGGGGGCUGUAAGGCUGGUGAGCACGUCAGCUGCUCCUCGGCCAGCUACCUACCCUGCAGCGCCCAGUGCAAGACGGGAAAAUACAGAGCCUCUUGUGCAAUAAGCAGGAACAAAGUGCCGUUAAAAGUACUAGAAUAUCAAGCCUCUACUUUCCUCGCCAUCUCCUGAGUCACUGUUUGAUUUGCUCUUUAGUGUCAUCCUAAGUAAAGAAAAAUUUAAGUUUUAAUUAUCAGCAUUUUACCAAUCCUCUUUACAGUGUGGAAUCCUUGUUUUAAGUUGAAAAAGGAGCAUUUACCUUCAAGGCAGAACCGUGAAAUUUUACGGUUCGUAUUUGGUUCCCCAAAUACCGUGUGUGCUUUCUUCUUGCCAGAACAGUGGAAAUAUUGCCCCAAACUG